AAAUUUUAUUGAAACUGGAAUUUUGUUGGAGAGAGUAGAGGUGAUUUGAAUGGAAAUUCGGUUUUGAUUUCUGACUUGUGGAAGGAUCGGAGGGCAGUUGUUGCAUUUGCUCGUCAUUUUGGAUGUGUCGUUUGUAUAAAACGAGCUGAUUUGCUUGCUGCUAAGAAGGAUAGGAUGGAUGCUUCAGGUGUGGCACUUGUCUUGAUUGGGCCCGGUAGCGUUGAUCAGACGUCUCAAAUCAGUUGGCUGGGAUAAAGAUUUGUUCAUGAAAGGUUCAAGUCCAUUUAACUAGGCUCAUGCUGAAGUGUGGUUGAUGCAUGUCCGAAAGGAAUGGGCCCAUCAGUGAAAACCAGAUUCUUUUUUACAUACAACUCACUGCCCAUGUACUUCCACCAAGAUGGUGAAGCCUCUGAUGACUUUCCAUGGUAACGUCGUUGUUUUCUGUCCAUACUUUUAAGCGGCACCAGAUCCCUCAUCGCGUGCAACUAUUCUAUAAGUUAAGGUAUCUCUAAGUUUCGGUUUCCUUUUUAACAAGAAAUAGCAACUCCUUCGCGAUUAAAUGGGUCGUGUUUGCGGGAUUAAUUGAACGCGAAACCAGACCCGUUUUGCCUGACCUUCUUUUACAUAUUAUGCACUUUAUUCAUAAAGAAAAUGCCUAAUGAUUUGUGAAAGUUGUACCACAUUUUAUUUUCUAAAACAAAAUUCAUAAUGAAUGAGCUGUGAAAUACUUAGGUUUUGAAUGGGAUCAUAUGUGACUAUGCCAUUUCUUAUGAUUA